rnacentral:lncRNA from 1 species
CGUAACUUACAAAUGCAAACUGAACUUUUCUUUCACCAUUGAGAUUUCGAUGUCAUGCUGUGUUAACAAACGUAUGUUAUCGGGUGUCCCAAAAGCUGAGAUAUUUCACUGCUAUAAAAAAAAAUCUUUUAAGGGGAGAUAACUCUAAAUUAUUUUACUUUUCAAAUUAAGAGAUUGUAAUUGAUGACAUUUGUCUUUUUUACCUAUAACCCC